rnacentral:lncRNA from 10 species
UAGCACCACACCUGGCUAAUUUUUGUAUUUUUAGUAGAGAUGAGGUUUCACCAUAUUGGCCAGGCUGUUCUCAACUCCUGACCUCGUGAUCCGCCCACCUCAGCCUCCUAAAGUGCUGGGAUUACAGCUGUGAGCCACCCUGCCCGGCCACUUUUGUAUGAUUUCUAAUGUAUUUGUAAUUUACCUAACAAAUUGCCUAAUCUGCUAUGUUAAUGUAUUUAUGAAUUAAAAUAAAUACGACUGCAUGUUUGUGGUUCAUUUUUGUGGAGGUGGCUGUGGUGACAUCAGCCAAGAAUCUGAAUGGUACUGUUGAAGGAAACUAGCAUGAUAGCUUCAGUUCUAAAGGCCCUGAAACCUAGUCUCAGGUGGGUCCCCCUUGGGUUCACUUUAUAUUGGCAGUUUAUUGGGAAAAUGGAUAUUAGGUCCUGACCAAUAGGACCGUAAGUCUGGGUUGAGUGCAAGAUGAGUUAGACCGAUUCUUUAGCUUCCUGCAGUGUAGUGGAGGAAAAAUCGAUGGUAGCAACGGGAGGUUGUAUCCCUAGCUGAUGAGUUGUAUGAGCCUCUACUACCUGGCGCACCUCCGCCUGAAGAUUGCCAGAAUUGCUUGCCUCAUGACGUGAGUCACAAUGGAAACUUUGUCAAGCCCCCUGCACUGGCUGCCAACAUAAAUGUUCAGUACCCUGAAGGAUGGGACUGAAGGGGGAUCAUCUAGAAGGUAAAGUUACCUACUGGCAUAGGGGAGGUGGGACAGCCGUUAAGCCAUUUGGAACUUGAUGGAGACAGGUUUGAGGGAGGUGGGUGAGAUUGGAGUUUGGUGGACUGUAGAGCUUGCUUGCCAAGGUGUUGAGGUCAGGGUUGGUUUGAGAAUGGAAGCUAGUUACUAGCUAUGAUUGUGGGGGAACACAGCUUGAUUUUUCUUACAAGCUAAGAGGAGUGAGGCAGUGUUUAAGAGGGCAUGUUAAAUGCAGCCAGGCUUGGUGGCUCACACCCGUAAUCCCAGCACUUAGGCUAAGGCAGGCGGAUCACAACAUCUAGAGAUCCUGGCCAACGCGGUGAAACCCUGUCUGUACUAAAAAUACAAAAUAACUGGGCAUGGUGGUGUGCACCUGUGGGAGGCUGAGGCAGAAUUGCUGGAACCCGGGAGAUGGAGGUUGUACUGAGCUGAGACCUUGCCACUGCGCUCCAGCCUGGUGACAGAGUUAAGUCUCAAAAAAAAGGCAUCUUCCUAAAGCAAUUGUAUUUGUGCUUACCUGUGCCAGGCACUGUUCUAGGUAAGCACUAAGUGGGCUUUAAUACAGCAUAUUCCAAUGGGGAAUCCCAGGAACCAAAAGACUAAUUGUCCAAGUCCACAACUAGAAGUGGCACCUCUGCAGAAACAAGCAUCAAAUUCCCUGCUCAGGAAGAAGCCAGAUGAGUCAGCCCCAUUCGUCUGUAUGCCCAGUCCCAUCCGUGUCCUGCUGUAACUACAUAGAUCUCACCU